UACGUAGGGUGCGAGCGUUAAUCGGAAUUACUGGGCGUAAAGCGUGCGCAGGCGGUUCGUCGUGUCCGAUGUGAAAGCCCCGGGCUCAACCUGGGAAUGGCAUUGGAAACUGGCGGACUCGGGUGUGGCAGAGGGGGGUGGAAUUCCGCGUGUAGCAGUGAAAUGCGUAGAGAUGCGGAGGAACACCGAUGGCGAAGGCAGCCCCCUGGGUUAACACUGACGCUCAGGCACGAAAGCGUGGGGAGCAAACAGG
rnacentral:rRNA from 1 species